UACGUAGGUGACAAGCGUUUGUCCGGAUUUACUGGGCGUAAAGAGCGCGCAGGCGGUCGAUCAAGUCGAGUGUGAAAGCCCCCGGCUCAACUGGGGAGGGUCAUUCGAUACUGAUCGACUCGAAGGCAGGAGAGGGUAGUGGAAUUCCCGGUGUAGUGGUGAAAUGCGUAGAUAUCGGGAGGAAUACCAGUGGCGAAAGCGGCACCCUGGCAUUAGCCUGACGCUCAUGUGGCGAAGGCGUGGGGAGCGAACGGG
rnacentral:rRNA from 1 species